AAAAAAACAAGAAAAGGAAAAAAUUAAGAAAAACUAGUUUGAGGGAGAUAUGUUCGAGAGAGAGAGAGAGAAGACGAAGAAGAGACAGAGAUGGAGGGAAGAGCAGUCCUUCGGAGCGACGACUAUUGCUUUGCUCGUGAUUGCCAAUGCGUUGUUCGAGCUGUCCUUCGGAGUUACCUCCUUCGCAACCCUGUUUAUCUUCGCUUCUCCCUCCGGUCGACGAAGACCAGCAGAUGAAGCAAACGGAGUUGUCUCACCUCUCCCUCCGGUCGGAGCUCUAUUAUCUCUCCCUUCCACCGCCCAAUUUUAGGUCUCAUGAAUGAUUUUGAAGAAAGAUCAAAGUUUUGAUUAAUAUGUCAAUGUUUUGAACACCCAGAAGGAGAAUAAGAAUUUGGUGUUGGAACAAAGUUUUAUGAUGGGAAUGAUUUCAAUUUUUCCAAUUAUUCAAAUGAAAGCCAGUACCAGUACCAGAGCAAAACCAAUUCUCUAAACACGACAUGGCCUUAAAGUUACAGGUCCAUUUUCUUCCGACUCGUGACUGGUAAAGCGUGGCGCUUGAUAGAGGUUUCGCUUUUCUUUCAGAGUAGCACUCGGAAAAACGUGUGGUUUGUUGAGAUAUAUGGAGGUUCUGCAUUCCUUCCGGAUGGUGACCGAUAAAGCUUGGUGCUUGAGAUAGGUUCCAUCUUCCGAAGUGGCGCCUGGUAAACUGUGUUGGUUUGAACGUUGUGGAAGAACAUCAACUUACUCAAGGUUCGAUCGUUGAGGAAGAACAUCAAACUAGUCAAGGUCAAGUCUUGAAGAAGUUAAUCCCUUGAGCAAGGAGCCAAUUUUGAGUAAUAGUGUGGUUUCUCAGUCGAGGUGGCUCAACCGAUAAAACACUGUUUCUCCGUCGAGGUGGCUCAACCGAUAACGCAAUGUGAGCAAUCGAAGGAUCAGCAUUAGAGUUUAUCCCAGAGUCCGCUUCUCUGCCAAGCCACCCAUGAAGUGCCUCUGUGUAGAGGCAUACUCUUAUUUUGCCAAGCCUAGUUUUGUUUCAAGUCUUUCAUAUAGUGUGUGAGAUAUGUAUAAGCUCUAUCAUUGUAUAUGUAAAUAUUGAAAGUGUAGUUCAAUGGUUUAAUUAUUUCAGGUCAUCAUGUAUGCACAGCUUAAUAGAUAUUUAAUAUUUUUGUUCUACUUCC